rnacentral:lncRNA from 1 species
AGGUGAUUACAAGGUAAAUGAAUAAGGCUCUAGAUGGUGUUGUGCACUGAUAAAUGCCUGCUGUUUUUCUUCUUCAGAGUAUUAAAAUUUACUCUUCUCUGGGGUACAAGAAAGUCUGUACUUUGAAGAGAGAGGUGUGCAUUGCAAGUAAAAUAAGCAUUGUUUCAUCUGUGCCUUCCAGGCUGGGAGAGUGCUAAGCAUUGCAGUUCCAGUUGUACUGGACUUGAGAGACAAACAAGCAGACCUGUUUGACUCAACCACCCCCAACCGCAGUACCCACCACCCUUUCUCUUCUGACUGUUUUUUUCUUUCUUACUCUGUUUGCUUAUCUAUAAUGACAAUUCUUCCUGAAAACUAAAAGAGACACAAUAUUUUCCCUUGUCAACCAGCACUUGUGCACUAACUCUGCCCAAAGUAUAAAAUUCACAGAAGCCCUCCCUCCCCCGAAUGGGCACCAGAUCCUUACAUGUUUGCCUACAUUGAUUUUAUGGGAAUGCUUAAGAGGCUGUACUUAAAAUUAAUUUCUGGCAAGCGGGAUAAGUGUCAGUGUUUUAUUUUCUGGAUCCCUUUCCUUGUAAAAGGCAUUUGAUGCAAAGUAAGGAGACCCCCUGAAAGGUAGAAGAGGGACUGGGUUGGGACAGAACAGCAUCUGCAGGAGGGGCACGGGGAGUCCUCCCUCUGUAGACUUUAAUCCUCAGAGAGCUAAUAAUUCCCCUCCGGUGCAUUAUGUGCCUUGAUAAUUAUUAGGUACUGAUAUUUGUCAUGCGUCACACUCAUUUCAGGUAGAGGAAAAGUCCUUUGAUAAAGAUGAUUUAAUAUUUUAUUGACCACACAGGCAAAGCCAGUGGUUGCUUCAUUUUCCCUUUUAAAGCCAAUUAAUAGGAAAUAAAAACUAAUGAGUUAUUUUCAAAUUAUUAUAUAUUUAAAUUUUAUUUUAUGCAUAUGGAUAUUGUGCUGGGACGUGUAUCUUUGUAGCACAUGUGUAGAGUGCCCUUGGAGGCCAGAAGAGUGUGUUAGAUCUAGCACUGGACUUGCAGAGGGUUGUGAACCACCCUGUGGGUACUGAGAAUCGAACCUGCAUCCUCUGAAAAAAACCAACAGUAUUCUUAACCUCUGAGUCAUCGUUCCGGACCAAAAUCAUUUUAUUUCUUCUAGAAAGAUUUCUGACCAUAGUUUAAGAAUAAGAAUAAUGGGUUGUAACAUUUUAAGAAUUUAUUUCUUAUAGAAACAUUUCUAGCCACCAUUUCUCUGACCCAUCUGUCUAGAUGGGAUUCGUAUAACGCAGUUCAGAUCCAGAUGCCCUCAGGAACUGUGACUAUAGAGAUGAGUGCCCUUCCAUUCUCUCGGCAUUUCUCAGAAUGAAAGGUCUUUCUGGGUUAGCUUGGAAGACAGAAGCAGUCAAGUCAUUUCCUUAGGGUUUGCAUCGUCCAGCUUCCUAGCCAAGUUGGCAUUAGGAGUAAGCAGGUUACCCAGAGUAGCAUCUCUCGCUGUCUUAGAGUUUCUAUUGCUGAGAUAAACACCACGACUGAAAGAAACUUUGGGAGGAAACAGUUUAUCUAGCAUAUACCUUCCAUAUCAUAAUCCAUUGUUGAAGGAUGUCAGGGCAGAAGCCUGAAGGCUGGAGCUGGAGCAGAGGGCAUGGCAGAAUGCUGCUUCAUGGCUUUCUCAGCCUACUGAUAACACCUGAACCACCAGCCUGGGGGUGUCACUGCCCACGGUGAACUGUGUCCUCUCACAUCAGUUCACAGUUAUGAAAAUGCACAACAGGCUUGUCCACAAGCCAAUCUAUUGGGGACACUUUUUUCACUUGAGGCUCCUUCUUCCAAAAUGACUCUAGGUUAUGUUGAAUUGACCUAAAACUAGUCAUUACAGUCUUGUUUUGGAAAAAGUCAUUUUCUCAGGCUUUUUGUAUGGUACCAAAUGAAAAUUUUCUAACUUUAAGCCUACCUAUUCUUACUCUUUAAAAUUAUUUUAAUCUAAUAUAUUCUGACCAUGCUUUUCCCUAGCCUGAAUCUUGUCCAUCUCUAAACUCCAUGUCUCCUUCCCCACCCCCUCAAACAGGCAAUCAAAUUUUUUUUUUAAUUUUAAAGAAAACACACACAUAC